AUUGAACGCUGGCGGCAGGCCUAACACAUGCAAGUCGGACGGUAGCACAGAGAGCUUGCUCUUGGGUGACGAGUGGCGGACGGGUGAGUAAUGUCUGGGGAUCUGCCCGAUAGAGGGGGAUAACCACUGGAAACGGUGGCUAAUACCGCAUAACGUCGCAAGACCAAAGAGGGGGACCUUCGGGCCUCUCACUAUCGGAUGAACCCAGAUGGGAUUAGCUAGUAGGCGGGGUAAUGGCCCACCUAGGCGACGAUCCCUAGCUGGUCUGAGAGGAUGACCAGCCACACUGGAACUGAGACACGGUCCAGACUCCUACGGGAGGCAGCAGUGGGGAAUAUUGCACAAUGGGCGCAAGCCUGAUGCAGCCAUGCCGCGUGUAUGAAGAAGGCCUUCGGGUUGUAAAGUACUUUCAGCGGGGAGGUAGGCGACGCGGUUAAUAACCGCGUCGAUUGACGUUACCCGCAGAAGAAGCACCGGCUAACUCCGUGCCAGCAGCCGCCGCGG
rnacentral:rRNA from 1 species